UGGAAGAUGACAGUCUCUUGGAUCCCUCAC
rnacentral:piRNA from 1 species